AAGAGGUCAAAAGACAAGAAGGUGCACUGAAUGCUAAAGAUGACCUCCAUGAACCACAAAAAAUGAACUCAGAAGAGGAGCACAAGGUUUCAAGUAGACCACAAAAAAGUCUCAGAAGACAAGAAGCUGCACUGAAUCUUGAUGACAAUAUUAAUGAAUCAAAUGAAGAGAUCAAAAGACAAGAAAGUGCACUGAAUGCUAAUGAUGACCUCCAUGAAU
rnacentral:misc_RNA from 1 species